GUGCUGUUCCGUGUGCGCGGCGCAUACGCACCUGGGUUGUCUCGAGCCUGCGGUAGUGGCCAGAUCCCAGACAUCCGAGUAGAUCCCGUGAAAAGGUCUCCCACGUGGGCUGUGGACAGGGCCCAAGGGUAGCAGAGCUAGCAGAGGCAGUGACGGACUGUGUGGCAGCUUCUUCUUGGUUUCUUCGUACAUUCUGGAUCCACCCCUUUCAUGCAUAUUCCAGACCACAUUUCCACUGGAGCAGUUGAAAUGAGAGAGAUGGGAAUGGGACUCACCCGAACCAGAGGAAUUUUUAUUACAGACCCAUUAACAGAGGUGUCAAAGUCACAGGAACAAGGAUGUGCACCUCAGAAACACAGAGGUCAGUGGAAAAUCAGUUUGCUUCUAUUUGUUUAAAAAAUGGGGGACUUAUGCAUAAAUCUAAGACCUUCUUGAAUCUAACAUUCUAAGACCUGUAUGCCACAGAAAGGAGGGUCUCAGAACGCCGGAGGAUAGUAUUUAAAUCUUAAAUAUCUAUAUUGUUCUCCACAGUUACUGGGUCACCACAUAGCAGGCAUUCAAUAAAAACGUGUUUGUUUACUAA
rnacentral:lncRNA from 1 species